UACGGGGGGUGCGAGCGUUGUCCGGAUUCACUGGGCGUAAAGGGCGCGUAGGCGGCCGGGUCAGUCGGGCCUGUAAGUGCGGGGCUCAACCCCGUGAUGGGCUCGGGACGGCCCGGCUGGGGCGCGGUCGAGGGAGACGGAAUGCCGGGUGUAGUGGUGAAAUGCGUAGAGAUCCGGCGGAACACCGGUGGCGAAGGCGGCAUCCUGGACCGGCAUUGACGCUGAGGCGCGAAAGCCAGGGGAGCAAACGGGG
rnacentral:rRNA from 1 species